rnacentral:tRNA from 1 species
GGAUUGUGGCUCAGCGGUAGAGCGCUCGCCUAGCAUGUGUGAAGCCCUGGGUUCGAUCCUCAGCACCA